rnacentral:rRNA from 1 species
GGCAACGGCCAUACCACGUUGAAAACACCGGUUCUCGUCUGAUCACCGAAGUUAAGCAACGUUGGUGGUUGGUUAGUACUGGAUGGGUGACCGCCUGGGAAUACCAAAUGCUGUUGUCU